AUUGAACGCUGGCGGCAGGCCUAACACAUGCAAGUCGAACGGUAGCACAGAGGAGCUUGCUCCUUGGGUGACGAGUGGCGGACGGGUGAGUAAUGUCUGGGAAACCGCCUGAUGGAGGGGGAUAACUACUGGAAACGGUAGCUAAUACCGCAUAACGUCGCAAGACCAAAGUGGGGGACCUUCGGGCCUCACACCAUCGGAUGUGCCCAGAUGGGAUUAGCUAGUAGGUGGGGUAAUGGCUCACCUAGGCGACGAUCCCUAGCUGGUCUGAGAGGAUGACCAGCCACACUGGAACUGAGACACGGUCCAGACUCCUACGGGAGGCAGCAGUGGGGAAUAUUGCACAAUGGGCGCAAGCCUGAUGCAGCCAUGCCGCGUGUAUGAAGAAGGCCUUCGGGUUGUAAAGUACUUUCAGCGAGGAGGAAGGCAUUGUGGUUAAUAACCACAGUGAUUGACGUUACUCGCAGAAGAAGCACCGGCUAACUCCGUGCCAGCCGCCGCAGUAA
rnacentral:rRNA from 1 species